GGUUCCAUAGUGUAGCGGUUAGCACAUCUGCUUUACGCGCAGAAGGUCCUGGGUUCGAGCCCCAGUGGAACCA
rfam:Felis catus isolate Cinnamon breed Abyssinian chromosome D1, whole genome shotgun sequence.